UCUAAUUGAUCAUGGCACUGACCCAUCACAAGCUAUUGCUAAUAAAUUAUGGCAAAGUUAUGAAUCGCUUUAUGCAGCUCAAAGGUCACAUUCGUGAUGCUUCCUAAUUAAUUUAAUAUUUUUAUUGUACAUUCACUUAGUUUUUAUUUUAUUAUUGCUGUCUUCCAUUUUUGCAUGCACUUCCACACUGCCACACCUUUUUGCAAAACAUUAUUAAUUAAAGUAGGAGGAGAGUUUAAACUGGGCGUGGUUUAUUGUAGUAUUGUGCUGUUCUGUUUCAUAGUAUAAACGUUUAAUGCUCGCUUGUUUCUCACAAAGUUUCUAAGAGAAGCAUGUCUAUUCAAGUUAAAGAUGAGGAUAUCAGCGAUGAAGGAGAGCUGACAGUCUUUAUACAACCACCUGGAUCUGACCUUUACAUCCAAAGA